UGGGUAACCUGCCCGGAUGUGUGGGAUACCUCGGGGGAAACUCGAGCUAAUACCGCAUGACAUCUUCGGGACGAAAGUCCUGAUGAUCAAAGCGGGGUCGCAAGAUCUCGCGCUUCCGGAUGGGCCCGCGCCCGAUUAGCUAGUUGGCGAGGUAACGGCUCACCAAGGCAACGAUCGGUAGCCGGCCUGAGAGGGUGAUCGGCCACACCGGAACUGAGACACGGUCCGGACUCCGUAGGGAGG
rnacentral:rRNA from 1 species